rnacentral:rRNA from 1 species
UCGGGGUNCUCGAGUGGCGAACGGGUGAGUAACACGUGGGUGAUCUGCCCUGCACUUUGGGAUAAGCCUGGGAAACUGGGUCUAAUACCGAAUAGGACCACGCGCUUCAUGGUGUGUGGUGGAAAGCUUUUGCGGUGUGGGAUGGGCCCGCGGCCUAUCAGCUUGUUGGUGGGGUAAUGGCCUACCAAGGCGACGACGGGUAGCCGGCCUGAGAGGGUGACCGGCCACACUGGGACUGAGAUACGGCCCAGACUCCUACGGGAGGCAGCAGUGGGGAAUAUUGCACAAUGGGCGCAAGCCUGAUGCAGCGACGCCGCGUGAGGGAUGACGGCCUUCGGGUUGUAAACCUCUUUCAAUAGGGACGAAGCGCAAGUGACGGUACCUAUAGAAGAAGCACCGGCCAACUACGUGCCAGCAGCCGCGGUAAUACGUAGGGUGCGAGCGUUGUCCGGAAUUACUGGGCGUAAAGAGCUCGUAGGUGGUUUGUCGCGUUGUUCGUGAAAACUCACAGCUUAACUGUGGGCGUGCGGGCGAUACGGGCAGACUAGAGUACUGCAGGGGAGACUGGAAUUCCUGGUGUAGCGGUGGAAUGCGCAGAUAUCAGGAGGAACACCGGUGGCGAAGGCGGGUCUCUGGGCAGUAACUGACGCUGAGGAGCGAAAGCGUGGGGAGCGAACAGGAUUAGAUACCCUGGUAGUCCACGCCGUAAACGGUGGGUACUAGGUGUGGGUUCCUUCCUUGGGAUCCGUGCCGUAGCUAACGCAUUAAGUACCCCGCCUGGGGAGUACGGCCGCAAGGCUAAAACUCAAAGGAAUUGACGGGGGCCCGCACAAGCGGCGGAGCAUGUGGAUUAAUUCGAUGCAACGCGAAGAACCUUACCUGGGUUUGACAUGCACAGGACGCCGGCAGAGAUGUCGGUUCCCUUGUGGCCUGUGUGCAGGUGGUGCAUGGCUGUCGUCAGCUCGUGUCGUGAGAUGUUGGGUUAAGUCCCGCAACGAGCGCAACCCUUGUCCUAUGUUGCCAGCGGGUUAUGCCGGGGACUCGUAGGAGACUGCCGGGGUCAACUCGGAGGAAGGUGGGGAUGACGUCAAGUCAUCAUGCCCCUUAUGUCCAGGGCUUCACACAUGCUACAAUGGCCGGUACAAAGGGCUGCGAUGCCGUGAGGUGGAGCGAAUCCUUUCAAAGCCGGUCUCAGUUCGGAUCGGGGUCUGCAACUCGACCCCGUGAAGUCGGAGUCGCUAGUAAUCCCAGAUCAGCAACGCUGCGGUGAAUACGUUCCCGGGCCUUGUACACACCGCCCGUCACGUCAUGAAAGUCGGUAACACCCGAAGCCGGU